rnacentral:ncRNA from 1 species
UUUGAAUUUAUGAUAAGAAGAGUAUUCUAUUUGAUGCUUUAAAGCGAACUGAUGAGGGUGAGAGAUCAGUAAGAUAAAUUAGAAGAAAAGAGUCUUGGAGAUCCUUUUUUGAAAUCAUUAGUAAUGAUGAUAGUAAAUAAAGGCGUUAACUGCGUUAAAGUGCUGAGUGGACUUUUAUUUAGUCAAACAGAGUGGUACCGCGGAUAAUCCGUCUCUUUA